GCAACCCGCUGGCCCUUGGGCUGGAGCGUGCCUGCCAGAGAAUGUAUUUUCAAUAUGUUUUGGAACAACUCGUGUUAUUGGUGAAGUCUGAGUCAAUGUGGGAAAUUAGUUAAAACUUUCAACAACGGAUCUCUUGGCUCUGGCAUCGAUGAAGAACGCAGCGAAAUGCGAUAAGUAAUGUGAAUUGCAGAAUCUAGUGAAUCAUCGAAUCUUUGAACGCACAUUGCGCCCCUUGGUAUUCCGAGGGGCAUGCCUGUUCGAGCGUCAUAACAACCCCUCAAGCCGCUCUGGCUUGGUCUUGGGGCUCGCCCGCAUCUGCGCGGCGUCCCUUAAACCCAGUGGCGGAACCGGUGGUGCUCUCCGCGUAGUCACGUUCUCGCGACAGGGUGGCACUGGAUCCAGCCAAAAAGACCCACGGCGUCUUUGCGCGACGUGGUCUCUCUCAAUGGUUGACCUCGAAUCAGGUAGGGAUACCCGCUGAACUUAA
rnacentral:rRNA from 1 species